AUUGCUUCUCGGACUUUUGGCUAAGAUCACGUAUAGUAUCUGUUCUUAUGAGUUUAGUAUCUGAUAUGUCCUCUAUCUGUGGCCUCUAUAUUGGUCUGUUACAAGAGAACUGGUAGCUACCUUUGCAUAGAAGGAUUCUGCUUGUACAUU
rnacentral:snRNA from 1 species